rnacentral:snoRNA from 1 species
UUUGUGUGGAUAUCCUGGUCAAUCAAUGUCUCCAGGUUCUGUCUAAGUGGUGUAGGGAGCAUAGUGCUCUGUGUGACAUGGUACAGUGCCUUCCCAGUGUUGAAGAUGAAAAUGAGCUUUUUGUGGGUCGGCACUGUGGAUUCUGCGGGACAGUGACAGAGAAGACGGAUCAUGUAUAAAACAUGU